UCGGACGUAGUGCACGGUGCAUAUCCGCUUUCCUUCCCGAAGUUCAGUGAUGAAGUUGAGGCGGAAGCCCUGGGUUCGACUCCCGGCGUCCGAA